rnacentral:lncRNA from 1 species
UAGAGUGGAAGGAAAUGAUGGGCAGCCUUAUCAAGGGCGACCUCACCAGGAGGUGCUGGGGUAAAGGGCAGAUAGACAGACAGCCUUGAAACAUAGGCGCUCAGGACAGUGCGUCUUCCUGUUCAGUAGAUCAUCCUUCUAGCAAUAGUCUAUGUCUGUGUUACUAACAGCAAACAUCUUAGAUUCCUUUUAAUAAUCCUUGCCUAUUUUGAAGGAAAAAGGAUGAAGCCAAGUGAUUCUAUGAUGUCAAUUUGCCUUCAGAGGAAAGCUAAGGUAGUCAGAAUCAAUAGUAAGAGAUGAACUAUCUUUGUUUACAACUUUCAAUAUCAUAAAACUACAGCACCCUUUAAUCUUGGACACAGUUCACUGUUUUAAGCUGUGAUCUCGUCUUCCUCUGUCAGUUACAAAUCUGAGGCACUCUUGGCUGAUGAAAGUGUUGCAGAAGCAGAAACACCGUUGUUUAUUGUGUAAUGUGAGACUCGCUGCUGUAGCGUCUCUUGCCAUGUUGCAGACACAGAAUUCCAGAAUGUUGGUCGUGGUGAAGUGUCUAUUUUCUCAUUUGUUUUAAUCACAAGGCAAGUUCCUGAGAUUUUGAAUUAUUUCUUAAAUGUCUUCCAUUUUUAAAAAUGUGUUAUAUAAAGACAAUCGUUUUCUCCCAAAGCCCUACUUGCUUUUGUUAUAAAAUAAUUUAUUAAAAUGAUUGUAAGUAGUUAUUAUGAUUUUAUAACCUAUGGCUCUUUAUUAUUAAUAUCAAUGGCUAAUGCUUGGUUAAAUCUAAUUUGUGGAGUUGAAAUGUAGAAGAAUUUCUAUGUAUUCCAUGACUUGCUAACUAGAAGGUAUUUGUUCCCCAUUACAGAAUUGGAAAUUAGGGUAUCACUUUUAACAAUAACUUACCAUGGUCAUUUAAGGAAGAAGUAAGAGGACUAUUACUACUUCGUGAUCCAGUCUUCCUGUUUCAAGAUCUCUCUGCCUCUGGCAUCUACCUUUAGUUUUCUCUUCUCCACAUAAAUGAAAAUUUCAGGUUGUUUACAUUUAAUAGAUUGUGUGAAAAGUCUUCCUAUCAGAUAUUCCUCAUUUUCCUAGACACUUGUUUUAGCUAUUUUUAUAUUGUUUUCAUGUAUCUUCAGGUCUUAUAUCAAAUUAUUUCUUAUAUCCUUAUAUUCAUAACUAGACAGAAAAUCACACAUAUAUGGAUUUUUUUUUCCUCCUCUCUCCCAUGAUCUGACCCACAGAAGCACCCAAAGAACUCUGAAAUAACAAUU